GAUGAACGCUGGCGGCGUGCCUAAUACAUGCAAGUCGAGCGAACGGACUAGAAGCUUGCUUCUCUGAUGUUAGCGGCGGACGGGUGAGUAACACGUGGAUAACCUACCUAUAAGACGGGGAUAACUUCGGGAAACCGGAGCUAAUACCGGAUAAUAUCUUGAACCGCAUGGUUCAAAAGUGAAAGACGGUCUUGCUUUCACUUAUAGAUGGAUCCGCGCUGCUUUAGCUAGUUGGUAAGGUAACGGUUUACCAAGGCAACGAUGCAUAGCCGACCUGAGAGGGUGAUCGGCCACACUGGAACGGAGCCACGGUCCAGACCCCUACGGGAGGAAGCAGAGGGGAAUCUUCCGCAAAGGGCGAAAGCUUGACGGAGCAAGGCGGCGGGAGUGAUGAGGUUCUUCGGAUCGUAAACCUCUGUUAUUAGGGAGGAACAUAUGUGUAAGUAAAUGUGCACAUCUUGACGGUACCUAAUCAGAAAGCCACGGCUAACUACGUG
rnacentral:rRNA from 1 species